rnacentral:rRNA from 1 species
AACGAACGCUGGCGGCAUGCCUAACACAUGCAAGUCGAACGAGACCUUCGGGUCUAGUGGCGCACGGGUGCGUAACGCGUGGGAAUCUGCCCAAAGGUUCGGAAUAACCCGGGGAAACCCGGGCUAAUACCGGAUAAUGUCUUCGGACCAAAGAUUUAUCGCCUUUGGAUGAGCCCGCGUCGGAUUAGCUUGUUGGUGAGGUAAAGGCUCACCAAGGCGACGAUCCGUAGCUGGUCUGAGAGGAUGAUCAGCCACACUGGGACUGAGACACGGCCCAGACUCCUACGGGAGGCAGCAGUGGGGAAUAUUGGACAAUGGGCGAAAGCCUGAUCCAGCAAUGCCGCGUGAGUGAUGAAGGCCUUAGGGUUGUAAAGCUCUUUUACCCGGGAUGAUAAUGACAGUACCGGGAGAAUAAGCCCCGGCGUAACUCCGUGCCAGCAGCCGCGGUAAUACGGAGGGGGCUAGCGUUGUUCGGAAUUACUGGGCGUAAAGCGCGCGUAGGCGGCUUCGC